rnacentral:tRNA from 1 species
GAACAGAUAAGCAAUGAACCAAUGACCUGCUGCCUUUUAAGCAGCAGGUCAUUGGUUCGAAUCCAAUCCGGUUCA